rnacentral:rRNA from 1 species
GACGAACGCUGGCGGCGUGCUUAACACAUGCAAGUCGAACGGAAAGGCCCUGCUUUUGUGGGGUGCUCGAGUGGCGAACGGGUGAGUAACACGUGAGUAACCUGCCCUUGACUUUGGGAUAACUUCAGGAAACUGGGGCUAAUACCGGAUAGGAGCUCCUGCUGCAUGGUGGGGGUUGGAAAGUUUCGGCGGUUGGGGAUGGACUCGCGGCUUAUCAGCUUGUUGGUGGGGUAGUGGCUUACCAAGGCUUUGACGGGUAGCCGGCCUGAGAGGGUGACCGGCCACAUUGGGACUGAGAUACGGCCCAGACUCCUACGGGAGGCAGCAGUGCGGAAUAUUGCACAAUGGGCGGAAGCCUGAUGCAGCCACGCCGCGUGCCGGAUGACGGCCUUCGGGUUGUAAACCGCUUUCGCCUGUGACGAAGCGUGAGUGACGGUAAUGGGUAAAGAAGCACCGGCUAACUACGUG